UGAGAAAUAAUUUUUUAUUAGAAAGACUCAAUAACCAUGCAUGCAGAUUUUCUUUUGAACUGAAAAUCUGGACUGCAUUUCAAAUGGGAGCUAAAAGAAGAACUGACGUUUAGAGCUACUUAUGUAACCAGCUGCCAAUUUUACAGGUAAAUUGCAUCUAACUUUAAUCUUAGUUUUAAGAUCAGAAGGCUACAUGACCAUCUACUUAAAGCAUGUUUUAGAAUAACUUAUCAUAAAGAUUUCUUUUUUCACACUUCCUCCUUAUUUCUAUCUAAAAACUACCUCUUUGUGCAUAUCCUGAAUGUCUGCCUUUAAUCAUCCAAAGCUCUAGAUUUGAACAAAGCAAAAACAUAUGCAAGUUUCUCCUUUGCCUAGAACUUAGCUCUCCUUUCUCUGAAAAGCACAAAAAAAUCAGAAGCUGGAGCCUACUUUGACUGAAAGAAUACUGUUCUUUCAUUGAAGUAAUCUGGGAACUGCUAGGUCACUGGUUGAACUGGUGAUUGAGCACCUGGUGAAGGGAUGUGGCUGGCCCAGGGUGCAUAGGCAAAUUGUUUGCAAUCUGUGCUCCCCACAUGACCAGAAGGGGUAGAUCCAGAGUGGAGCCACCCUGGACUCAUAUAAAGGCCAGACCCUGAAGGGAGAGUGUUCCUUGGGCCUAGCCUGAGGAGAAAUUUGAGAGCCCCUUCACCAGUUGGACCCAGAAUGAAAAUGGCUUAAUAGAUGUUGGUAACUCUUGCUGACCAGCUUCAUGGAAGGUAUUUGGUGAUGACAGCCCUCAUGUGAAAAUAGACAUCAACUGUCACCAUUGUAGUGGAGAAUGAAAACCUUUAUUAAUGCAUCACUCUACAUUCUCUGUCAAGGAAGGAAUUCCAUUUUGGCACUGGAAGAAAAGAACAGGACCUCAUCAAGUCCUAUAAUCACUUUCAGAGGAAGACUGAAAUUAUUUAGGGUUCUGGUGAUUAAACUGAGUUGAAAAUUCCUGUAUUUCCUCUUCAUGUUUUACUUUUGUCUACAGGUGAAGGUUCCACCUGCUACAGAGUGUUGUGAGAACAAGAAGGUGCACUGUUUACCACUUCCAAAAGUAAUUUUGGUAUGCAGUGUCUGAAUGCUUGUGCCAAGUUAUACUGCAGAUCCAGUGAAAACAAAUCAAUGAUUGAUGAAACUGGUAAACUGGUAUGCAGAACAAGCAGAACUUUCCCCACUUUUUUCUGCUGAGACUGAAAGAAGAUUAAUUCAGGCACCACAGCACCUCUCUACUGAAUGCACACAGAGCACUAUUGCCUGAGAUGGAAAAGUUCUGACAAGACAGUACAAAGAAGAUGUUCCUAAGAUCUUUAUUUUACUCACACUGUCAUUAAAUAAGUGGCUCUAUAUGUGCAUGUAUGUAUGCAUAAGUAACAAUAAUGAAAUGUGUGCGUGUACAUAUAUAUGUGCAUUUGUAAUAAUAUAUAUGUAUUCGUAACUAUACAUGAAGGUGAAUCUUCUUCAUUUGUGACCUUGGGUUUCAAAACCAGAAGUUUUUAUUGGAUGUUAUUGUAGGAGUCAUAAAUGAUUUUGGAUUUAGUUUGAUUCAGUAUCCAUACAGACAACAUAACUUAAACUCUGGUAGUUCAUUAACUUUCCUUUAAGAAUCGUAUGAAAGGAUUUUCCUCCUCUCUUACAUGUUUGGCAUGACAAAAUAAUGCAUAGAUUUGUCAUUUAAGGUUUUACUGCAGCAGUAUAAAAGUCCUUGUUAACAAAUACAUGAAGCUGCUCGAUUGUCUCAUUUGAUAAUUCUUCAACAACUUAAACUAGGAGCUUAAGACCAUAACUGGUGGUGGUUCUUUGGCACUGAUAAAUGAACAUUGCUACUGUCCUUGGCAAUUUUCUGAGACCUUUCAUUGUGCUGUUUUCAUGGAGAUCUGAGUUGCUCAUGUAUUCUUUUGCCAUGUGUUUUCAAAGUAAAUUUUUUUGCUGUGGGGAAAAAAAAGACAAAUUUGAACAUGUGAACCUUUUUUAUUUUUUAAAUGUAAUAACUAACGAGAGGAAAUAAAGGUAUGUCAGAUGGGAGAAUUUUAUGAUUCGCUCUGGCAAUAAGGACUUCUGAAGGAUGAAAGCAAGUUGUUUUUCACUGUCAUUCUGUCUUUUCCUUUUGUGCUGAGAAAACAACUUUGUUGGCUAAUGAAUGCAAACUGUUAUGGCAUUUUCUUUUAUUUUUAUUUUCUUAUGUGAAAAAUUGGGCCACUAAAAGCCAAACUGAGAUCAGUGUAUUUCCACAUGAGGCCUUCUGAAGAUAAUCAUUCUUAUUGGAGAGUUUGAUCUUAAUAGUGGAAAGCUGAUGUCAACUUCUAGUAUUCAAACCAUUCUCCCCAAAGCUGUUGUUCAUCUCUGAUCUUAAAUGCAAAAACAGAAGUAUAGUUCUAAAUAUUGCUGGGAAAUAUUGUAGCACUAUGAAUACUGGUGCUGUGUGUCUGACCACAGAUAAUAUAUUUACAUUGAUAAUGUGUCAUUAUUUCUUCAGGGAAACAUUUGUUUAAUGAAUGUUUUCUGAACUCGUAAGAUCUUUUCUUGUCCUUCACUGAAAAAUUAGAUAAAAAUUAAUUAUGAUUAAACAGAAUCCAUCUUCCAGACAAUCAGCAGCCAGCUGCUUAGCCGUUCUGCAGAUGUGAGGCAAAAGGUAGGUUUUUCUCCCAGAGCAGACCAACAGAGCCCACAGAGAUUAUUUGAGAAGGCAUCUGCCUUUCUUUGUAGUGGUAGAUUUCCAAGAAUUGUCUGAGGAUCUUGCUGUCUCUUGGUCUUGCCCACUCUCUUUCCAAAGCACUAUUUCUCCUUUCUUUUUGUUGUUCUGUGGUAAGGUUUUUGCAUAUUGCCAGAGUGUCACUGCUCCUUGGCACAGUAUUUGGAGGAGUAACCCUGUGAACCUGUGGCAAAGGAGGACAGAGGACUAGACUCAAAGUUUUAGGAUGGCAUUCUUCAGGCAUAUGUUCCUAAGGAAUUGACAUUCAUCGAUGCUUGCUGAACAUUAAUGGGGAGUAAGCUGUGUAUGUGAGCAGGGUGAGGUGGUGUGUGAUGUGUUUCAGCAGUGGCAAUAGCAAUGUUAAAGACAAGCCACAUUCUGGAUAACCGUACAGAUUUUUACAAGAGCAGCAUGUAAGCUCUUCUUCAUCACUGGCAAAAAUGCAUAGCAAAUGGAGGUGACUAUGGUGGAAGCUAGUUCUUUUGUAGCUGAGACUGUGCUCUAUCAAGUAGUGUUAUUGUGCACUUUAUCUGUUGUAUUUUCCAUACAAGUAAAUAAGACUUUAAUUACUCACAGAGCAACUACAUACAUUGUAAUGAUUUCUCUGUAAAGAAAUCAUUUUAAAGAUGAAUUUCUGAGA